rnacentral:pre_miRNA from 1 species
GGCUGUAAGUAUUACAGCAAGCUUGCUAUUCGAAAGGCGCUUGGUGUUAUAUCUUACAGUGAG